CUGCAUUUCAGCAAAGGAAGUUGUUGAAUACAUAUCCACCACAGUGCUUUUUUGAUCAAGAGAGAGAGAUCACAUGAUGGUUCAAACAGGGGAGCAGCAGGGAGGAGUUCCAGGAGAUCCAGGAAAAGGACGGGGGUGCUUUUGUAGCUUAUGUAAGGUCUUUGUGCAAGUGAUAUCAGGCGUUGUCACAGUGAUAACAUGUUGUGGCUUGUUUCAGAACUGCUGAGCUAAUCAGGGACCUGAUAAUGCCGGUUAUUGAACAAUCAAGAUGUUCCAGGCUUGUUGAUCACAAUAUCGUGUCUGUGAAGUUUUCUGUUUGAGUGUGAUUAAAUGUAAUAUAACUAAUAAACAAGCGAGAUGUGUUAGCAUGUUGCAAACGCAGUGUUGCAACUGGCUUAUCAGUGUUUGCCCUUUGAUGUCUACUCAAAUUUGUGUGUAAUUUAAUCAGUCUGCAAAUCUUAAAUGUAAUAUAACUAAUAAACAGGCGAGAUGUGUUAGCAUGUUGCAAACGCAGCGUUGCAACUGGCUUAUCAGUGUUUGCACUUUGAUAUCUACUCAUAUUUUGUGUGUAAUUUAAUCAGUUUGCAAAUCUCCAUGUUUCUUACGUACACUUCUGAGCAGAAAUAA